rnacentral:rRNA from 1 species
CCUACGGGAGGCAGCAGUGAGGAAUAUUGGUCAAUGGGCGCAAGCCUGAACCAGCCAAGUCGCGUGAGGGAUGACGGUCCUAUGGAUUGUAAACCUCUUUUGUCGGGGAGCAAGGCCCGCCACGUGUGGCGGGAAGGAGAGUACCCGAAGAAAAAGCCUCGGCUAACUCCGUGCCAGCAGCCGCGGUAAUACGGAGGAUGCGAGCGUUAUACGUAUUUAUUGGGUUUAAAGGGUGCGUAGGCGGAAGGUUAAGUCAGCGGUAAAAUGUCGGUGCUCAACACCGGCCUGCCGUUGAAACUGGUCUUCUUGAGUGAGCGAGAAGUAUGUGUAAUGCGUGGUGUAGCGGUGAAAUGCAUAGAUAUCACGCAGAACUCCGAUUGCGAAGGCAGCAUACCGGCGCUCAACUGACGCUGAGGCACGAAAGCGUGGGGAUCGAACAGGAUUAGAUACCCGUGUAGUC